AGCGAUCGCUGGCGGCAGGCCUAACACAUGCAAGUCGAACGAAGUCUUCGGACUUAGUGGCGGACGGGUGAGUAACACGUGGGAACGUACCUUUUGGUUCGGAACAACUCAGGGAAACUUGAGCUAAUACCGGAUGAGCCCUUAGGGGGAAAGAUUUAUCGCCGAAAGAGCGGCCCGCGUUAGAUUAGCUAGUUGGUGAGGUAAAGGCUAACCAAGGCUACGAUCUAUAGCCGGUCUGAGAGGAUGAUCAGCCACACUGGGACUGAGACACGGCCCAGACUCCUACGGGAGGCAGCAGUGGGGAAUCUUGCGCAAUGGGCGAAAGCCUGACGCAGCCAUGCCGCGUGAAUGAUGAAGGUCUUAGGAUUGUAAAAUUCUUUUACCAGGGACGAUAAUGACGGUACCUGGAGAAAAAGCCCCGGCUAACUUCGUGCCAGCCGCCGCCGUAAGAC
rnacentral:rRNA from 1 species